UCUUAUGUCAAAAAGUUCGUCAAGCUUCGUGUGUAUUGUGUGUAGAUGACAACAAAACCAAGCGUCUGCGACAUUUUCUAUCAGCUAUCGUUUAAUUUGUGUAUCAUCAUGCUUUUACAACAGCAUUUUCGAUUCGGAUAGCGUUUGGACAUCAUGUUUUCCGUCCACGGCUGCAGCUAACCUCCAUGCUAAAUUGAUGGAAGAAACCCGUGGAAUGAAUGAAACUUAUGUGAUACAGUGACAAUAUGCAGUGUCAAAAUGAUUAAAUGUCGAAUAAAAGCAUUCGUGUUGCAUUUAUGCAUUUA